GACGAACGCUGGCGGCGUGCUUAACACAUGCAAGUCGAACGGAAAGACCCUGCUUUUGUGGGGUGCUCGAGUGGCGAACGGGUGAGUAACACGUGAGUAACCUGCCCUUGACUUUGGGAUAACUUCAGGAAACUGGGGCUAAUACCGGAUAGGAGCUCCUGCUGCAUGGUGGGGGUUGGAAAGUUUCGGCGGUUGGGGAUGGACUCGCGGCUUAUCAGCUUGUUGGUGGGGUAGUGGCUUACCAAGGCUUUGACGGGUAGCCGGCCUGAGAGGGUGACCGGCCACAUUGGGACUGAGAUACGGCCCAGACUCCUACGGGAGGCAGCAGUGGGGAAUAUUGCACAAUGGGAGGAAGCCUGAUGCAGCAACGCCGCGUGCGGGAUGACGGCCUUCGGGUUGUAAACCGCUUUCGCCUGUGACGAAGCGUGAGUGACGGUAAUGGGUAAAGAAGCACCGGCUAACUACGUG
rnacentral:rRNA from 1 species